rnacentral:rRNA from 1 species
GAUGAACGCUGGCGGCGUGCCUAAUACAUGCAAGUCGAGCGAACGGACGAGAAGCUUGCUCCUCUGCUGUUAGCGGCGGACGGGUGAGUAACACGUGGAUAACCUACCUAUAAGACUGGGAUAACUUCGGGAAACCGGAUCUAAUACCGGAUGAUAUUUUGAACCGCAUGGUUCAAAAGUUAAAGACGGUUUUGCUGUCACUUAUAGAUGGAUCCGCGCUGCAUUAGCUAGUUGGUAAGGUAACGGCUUACCAAGGCAACGAUGCGUAGCCGGCCUGAGAGGGUGAUCAGCCACACUGGAACUGAGACACGGUCCAGACUCCUACGGGAGGCAGCAGUAGGGAAUCUUCCGCAAUGGGCGAAAGCCUGACGGAGCAACGCCGCGUGGGUGAUGAAGGUCUUCGGGUCGUAAAACUCUGUUAUUAGGGAAGAACAUAUGUGUGAGUAGCUGUGCACAUCUUGACGGUACCUAAUCAGAAAGCCACGGCUAACUACGUG